rnacentral:rRNA from 1 species
UACGAAGGGGGCUAGCGUUGCUCGGGAUCACUGGGCGUGAAGGGUGCGUAGGCGGGUCUUUAAGUCAGGGGUGAAAUCCUGGAGCUCAACUCCAGAACUGCCUUUGAUACUGAGGAUCUUGAGUUCGGGAGAGGUGAGUGGAACUGCGAGUGUAGAGGUGAAAUUCGUAGAUAUUCGCAAGAACACCAGUGGCGAAGGCGGCUCACUGGCCCGGAACUGACGCUGAGACGCGAAAGCGUGGGGAGCAAACAGG